rnacentral:rRNA from 1 species
CACAUACCAAGGAAAGGCAGCAGGCACNCAAAUUACCCACUCCCGGCACGGGGAGGUAGUGACAAAAAAUAACGAUACGGGACUCAUCCGAGGCCCCGUAAUCGGAAUGAGAACACCCUAAAUCCUUUAACGAGGAUCUAUUGGAGGGCAAGUCUGGUGCCAGCAGCCGCGGUAAUUCCAGCUCCAAUAGCGUAUAUUAAAGUUGUUGCGGUUAAAAAGCUCGUAGUUGGUUCUGCGUGCCACGCUGUCGGUUCACCGCCUGUCGGUGCAACUGGCAUGCCGUGGCAUGUCCUGUCGGUGGCUGACGGGCUUCGCGGCGCGCCCCAUUCGCUCACGCGUGUGGGUCGACGCGCCGUGUUGUCCUCGUUGGCCGGCUCAAUCCUACCGCGGUGCUCUUAAACGAGUGUCGAGGUAGGCCGACACUGUUUACUUUGAACAAAUUAGAGUGCUUCAAGCAGGCUCUGAAAGCAGCCUGAAUAGUGGUGCAUGGAAUAAUGGAACAGGACCUUGGUUCUAUUUUGUUGGUUUUCGGAAUCCAAGGUAAUGAUCAAUAAGGACAGGCGGGGGCAUUCGUAUUGCGACGUUAGACUUGGCAAAUGCUUUCGCGGUGAAAUUCUUGGAUCGUCGCAAGACGCACUAGAGCGAAAGCAUUUGCCAAGUAUGUCUUAAUUGAUCAAGAACGAAAGUUAGAGGUUCGAAGGCGAUCAGAUACCGCCCUAGUUCUAACCAUAAACGAUGCCAGCCAGCGAUCCGCCGAUGUUCCUCCGAUGACUCGGCGGGGAGCUUUCCCCGGGAAACCAAAGCUUUUGGGUUCCGGGGGAAGUAUGGUUGCAAAGCUGAAACUUAAAGGAAUUGACGGAAGGGCACCACCAGGAGUGGAGCCUGCGGCUUAAUUUGACUCAACACGGGAAACCUCACCAGGCCCGGACAUUGGAAGGAUUGACAGAUCGAUAGCUCUUUCUCGAUUCAGUGGGUAGUGGUGCAUGGCCGUUCUUAGUUGGUGGACUGAUUUGUCUGGUUAAUUCCGAUAACGAACGAGACUCUGACCUAUUAACUAGGCGCUCCCGGUAUAAAUACCUACCGGNGACAAUUAUUCUUCUU